rnacentral:rRNA from 1 species
GGUGGAGCGAUUUGUCUGGUUAAUUCCGAUAACGAACGAGACUCUAGCCUGCUAAAUAGUUCGCCGAUUGUCUAAUCUGUCGGCGUUAACUUCUUAGAGGGAUUUGCGGUGUUUAGCCGAAAGAAAUUGAGCAAUAACAGGUCUGUGAUGCCCUUAGAUGUCCGGGGCUGCACGCGCGCUACACUGGCAAAAUCAACGUGCUUGUCCUUCCCCGAAAGGGGCGGGUAAACCAUUGAAAAUUUGCCGUGAUUGGGAUCGGAAAUUGCAAUUAUUUUCCGUGAACGAGGAAUUCCAAGUAAGUGCGAGUCAUCAGCUCGCGUUGAUACGUCCCUGCCCUUUGUAC